rnacentral:lncRNA from 1 species
UCCGUUAUAAUCGAUUAAUUUUCAAAAAAAAAGAGUCUAAAGAGUGUCAAUCCAAAAUAAAUAGUUUAAGCUACUAAAGAAGAGUUCAGUUGAGAUACUAUCGAUAGUACAAAGGGUUUGGUGCUAUCGAGUAUUCCACCGUUGGAUUUAAUCAUUUUAUUAUUUUUACCCGUUAGAUUAUACUAUUCAACCAACCACCCACUCAAUUCUAGGGGGGCCCAUAUUAUCUUAACCGCAUAUUUCUCGAUCCAAUGGCUAAAAAACUAAUAGCACCAAUAACUUAGUGCUAUUGAUAGUAUUCCAGCCUAGUUCACCAAAAGAAUGUGUCUUAAUAUUCAUAUAUAUAUUAAUCGAAACUUUUUUUUUCAUCG